GGGGGUAAAGCUCAGUGGUAGAGCAUGUGCUUAGCAUACACAAGGUCCUGGGUUCAAUCCCUGAUCCUUCCA
rnacentral:tRNA from 1 species